UGAGCAAAACCAAGCGGCGGACGGGUGAGUAACGCGUGGGUAACCUGCCCUAUACACAUGGAUAACAUACUGAAAAGUUUACUAAUACAUGAUAAUAUAUAUUUGUGGCAUCGCAGAUAUAUCAAAGUGUUAGCGGUAUAGGAUGGACCCGCGUCUGAUUAGCUAGUUGGUGAGAUAACUGCCCACCAAGGCGACGAUCAGUAGCCGACCUGAGAGGGUGAUCGGCCACAUUGGAACUGAGACACGGUCCAAACUCCUACGGGAGGCAGCAGUGGGGAAUAUUGCACAAUGGGCGAAAGCCUGAUGCAGCAACGCCGCGUGAACGAUGAAGGUCUUCGGAUCGUAAAGUUCUGUUGCAGGGGAAGACAAUGACGGUACCCUGUGAGGAAGCCCCGGCUAACUACGUGCCAGCAGCCGCGGUAAUACGUAGGGGGCUAGCGUUAUCCGGAUUUACUGGGCGUAAAGGGUGCGUAGGUGGUCCUUCAAGUCGGUGGUUAAAGGCUACGGCUCAACCGUAGUAAGCCGCCGAAACUGGAGGACUUGAGUGCAGGAGAGGAAAGUGGAAUUCCCAGUGUAGCGGUGAAAUGCGUAGAUAUUGGGAGGAACACCAGUAGCGAAGGCGGCUUUCUGGACUGCAACUGACACUGAGGCACGAAAGCGUGGGUAGCAAACAGGAUUAGAUACCCUGGUAGUCCACGCUGUAAACGAUGAGUACUAGGUGUCGGGGGUUACCCCCCUCGGUGCCGCAGC
rnacentral:rRNA from 1 species